rnacentral:rRNA from 1 species
GAUGAACGCUGGCGGCGUGCCUAAUACAUGCAAGUCGAGCGAACAGACGAGGAGCUUGCUCCUUUGACGUUAGCGGCGGACGGGUGAGUAACACGUGGGUAACCUACCUAUAAGACUGGGAUAACUUCGGGAAACCGGAGCUAAUACCGGAUAAUAUUUCGAACCGCAUGGUUCGAUAGUGAAAGAUGGCUUUGCUAUCACUUAUAGAUGGACCUGCGCCGUAUUAGUUAGUUGGUAAGGUAACGGCUUACCAAGGCAACGAUACGUAGCCGACCUGAGAGGGUGAUCGGCCACACUGGAACUGAGACACGGUCCAGACUCCUACGGGAGGCAGCAGUAGGGAAUCUUCCGCAAUGGGCGAAAGCCUGACGGAGCAACGCCGCGUGAGUGAUGAAGGUCUUCGGAUCGUAAAACUCUGUUAUUAGGGAAGAACAAACGUGUAAGUAACUGUGCACGUCUUGACGGUACCUAAUCAGAAAGCCACGGCUAACUACGUG